GGGGGUUGGUGGCGUUCUCUUUC
rnacentral:siRNA from 1 species